CCUACGGGAGGCAGCAGUGAGGAAUAUUGGUCAAUGGACGAGAGUCUGAACCAGCCAAGUAGCGUGAAGGAUGACUGCCCUAUGGGUUGUAAACUUCUUUUAUAUGGGAAUAAAACGUUCCACGUGUGGGAUUUUGUAUGUACCAUAUGAAUAAGGAUCGGCUAACUCCGUGCCAGCAGCCGCGGUAAUACGGAGGAUCCGAGCGUUAUCCGGAUUUAUUGGGUUUAAAGGGAGCGUAGGUGGAUUGUUAAGUCAGUUGUGAAAGUUUGCGGCUCAACCGUAAAAGUGCAGUUGAAACUGGCAGUCUUGAGUACAGUAGAGGUGAGCGGAAUUCGUGGUGUAGCGGUGAAAUGCUUAGAUAUCACGAAGAACUCCGAUUGCGAAGGCAGUUCACUGGACUGCAACUGACACUGAGGCUCGAAAGUGUGGGUAUCAAACAGGAUUAGAUACCCUUGUAGUC
rnacentral:rRNA from 1 species